rnacentral:rRNA from 1 species
AGUGAACGCUGGCGGUAGGCCUAACACAUGCAAGUCGAACGGCAGCACAGUAAGAGCUUGCUCUUACGGGUGGCGAGUGGCGGACGGGUGAGGAAUACAUCGGAAUCUACUUUUUCGUGGGGGAUAACGUAGGGAAACUUACGCUAAUACCGCAUACGACCUACGGGUGAAAGCAGGGGAUCUUCGGACCUUGCGCGAUCGAAUGAGCCGAUGUCGGAUUAGCUAGUUGGCGGGGUAAAGGCCCACCAAGGCGACGAUCCGUAGCUGGUCUGAGAGGAUGAUCAGCCACACUGGAACUGAGACACGGUCCAGACUCCUACGGGAGGCAGCAGUGGGGAAUAUUGGACAAUGGGCGCAAGCCUUAUCCAGCCAUACCGCGUGGGUGAAGAAGGCCUUCGGGUUGUAAAGCCCUUUUGUUGGGAAAGAAAAGCAGCAGGUUAAUACCCCGCUGUUCUGACGGUACCCAAAGAAUAAGCACCGGCUAACUUCGUG